UAUACUCAAUGUCCUUGCUUGUCCUUAUUGUCCAUACCCUUCUCCUAAACCCCCAAAACACCAUCCUCCUAUUGUUAAGCCACCACCAGUUCACAAACCUCCUAAACCAACACCUUGUCCUCCCCCAUCAUCAUCACCUAAACCACCUCAUGUUCCAAAACCACCCAUUGUGAAACCACCAAUCGUGAAACCACCGAUCGUGAAACCACCGAUCGUGAAACCACCGAUCGUGAAACCACCGAUCGUGAAACCACCGGUCGUGAAACCACCGGUCGUGAAACCACCGGUCGUGAAACCACCGGUCGUGAAACCACCGGUCGUGAAACCACCGGUCGUGAAACCACCAAUUGUGAAACCACCAAUUGUGAAACCACCCAUUGUGAAACCACCCAUUGUGAAACCACCCAUUGUGAAACCACCGAUCGUGAAACCACCUAUUGUGAAACCACCCAUUGUGAAACCACCCAUUGUGAAACCACCUAUUGUGAAACCACCCAUUGUGAAACCACCCAUUGUAAAACCACCAAUUGUGAAACCACCCAUUGUAAAACCACCAAUUGUGAAACCACCCAUUGUAAAACCACCAAUUGUGAAACCACCCAUCGUGAAACCACCAAUUGUGAACCCACCGAUUGUGAAACCACCACCACAUGUUCCACUACCUCCAACUGUACCACCAACACCAACACCACCAGUGAUAACUCCACCAACACCAACACCACCUAUUGUGACACCACCAACACCAACACCACCAGUGAUUACACCACCAACACCACCAGUGGUUACUCCACCAACACCAACACCACCAGUGGUAACUCCACCAAUACCAACACCACCAGUGGCAACUCCACCAACACCAACACCACCAGUGGUUACUCCACCAACACCAACACCUGUACCAUGUCCGCCACCAGCACCAGCACCAGCACCACCACCAGAACAACAAAGUUGUCCAAUAGAUGUAUUGAAGUUGGGUGCAUGUGUUGAUGUGCUUGGUGGUCUAAUACAUAUUGGAAUAGGUGGUAGUAGUGCUAAACAAACAUGUUGUCCAUUGCUUCAAGGACUUGUGGAUUUGGAUGCUGCUCUUUG
rnacentral:lncRNA from 1 species